rnacentral:rRNA from 1 species
GAUGAACGCUGGCGGCGUGCUUAACACAUGCAAGUCGAACGGAAAGGCCCAAGCUUGCUUGGGUACUCGAGUGGCGAACGGGUGAGUAACACGUGGGUGAUCUGCCCUGCACUUCGGGAUAAGCCUGGGAAACUGGGUCUAAUACCGGAUAGGACCACAUUUUGGAUGGUGUGGUGGAAAGUUUUUCGGUGUGGGAUGAGCUCGCGGCCUAUCAGCUUGUUGGUGGGGUAAUGGCCUACCAAGGCGUCGACGGGUAGCCGGCCUGAGAGGGUGUACGGCCACAUUGGGACUGAGAUACGGCCCAGACUCCUACGGGAGGCAGCAGUGGGGAAUAUUGAACAAUGGGCACAAGCCGGAUGCAGCGACGCCGCGGGGGGGAUGACGGACUUCGGGUUGUAAACUCCUUUCGCUAGGGACGAAGCGUUAUGUGACGGUACCUGGAGAAGAAGCACCGGCUAACUACGUG